rnacentral:rRNA from 1 species
UACGUAGGUGACAAGCGUUGUCCGGAUUUACUGGGCGUAAAGAGCGCGCAGGCGGUCGAUCAAGUCGAGUGUGGAAGCCCCCGGCUCAACUGGGGAGGGUCAUUCGAUACUGAUCGACUCGAAGGCAGGAGAGGGUAGUGGAAUUCCCGGUGUAGUGGUGAAAUGCGUAGAUAUCGGGAGGAACACCAGUGGCGAAGGCGACUACCUGGCCUGUUCUUGACGCUGAGGCGCGAAAGCUAGGGGAGCAAACGGGG